ensembl:lncRNA
CUAACAAUGAAAAUGUGCUUUCAGGCGUGAAAGAAAUGCUCUCUUCUAAAUUCCAAAUGAAAGAUCUGGGGAAACUUAACCAUUUUCUAGGAAUAGAUUUUCUUCAAGAAAAAGAAUGUGUCAAAAUGUCACAGAAAAUAUAUAUUGAAAACAUUUUAAAAAGAUUUAACAUGCAAAACUGUAAGCCAAGGUUAACACCCUGUGAACAGAAAUGGACUCAUUCUGAUAAAUUCGAGACAUUACCAGAUGUGAGGAGAUAUCGUGAAGCGGUAGGAUGUCUUAUUUAUCUGAGCUAUUGUACGCGACCUGAUUUAAGCUAUGUUGUUAGCAAAUUGUCACAACACUUCAAUGCGCCAACCGUUGAUGAUUGGACAGCAGUGAAACAUGUUCUGAGGUAUCUAAAAGGUAGUCGAGGAAAAGAACUGUGUUUUAGGAAAUGUUCAAGUGGAAAACUAGGUCUACAAGCAUAUAGUGAUGCAGAUUGGGCAUCCGAUGUUUCUGAUAGACGCAGUAUGACAGGUUAUUGUGUAAGCCUAAAUGAAAAUGGUCCUUUGAUAUCAUGGAAAACCAAAAAGCAGACAACUACAGCACUAUCAACUUGUGAAGCCGAAUACAUGGCAUUAGCAGCAACAAUUCAGGAAUGUAUGUAUUUGACUUAUUUGAUUCGAGAUCUUGAUGAAUUUAAGUAUGAAGUACCUAUGAUAUGGGAGGACAAUCAGGGAACAAUCGCUUUGUCAAAAAAUCCAGUGAACAGACAAAGAUGUAAACACAUUGAUGUGAAAUAUCAUUUUAUAAGGUCAGCUGUACAUGAAAGGAAAGUGCUCAUUGAUUACUGUCCAACUGAGUCAAUGGUAGCAGAUAUGAUGACGAAACCAGUUUCAAAGUCUAAGUUAGACAAAUUCUCUGUAUUUGUGUUUGGAAUGUAAGAUGUUUUUUUCCGGAGGACUGUUUUUCCCCAACCUGUCUACAAGUGGGGGUGUUGGAUUGUGUGUCCACAGGUGUUUGUACUUUGCGUCACAAUAAAAAUGACGGUAAAAGGCUCCGCCCACCACCUAUCCAUGUCUCGCCAUGCAACGACUUUGUAGAUGGACUGGAGAUGUGUAGUGGAAGAGUCCUCCGUCAGGAAUGAGAUAUGUGUGUUGACUUUUUAUUCUCCCUCAAAAUUAUUAUGCCAUAACGCUGCCCAGAGCAGCUCUGCUAACAGAAAAACUCAAAAACCGGGAAUCCCCGGCAGCCUACGUCUAUUGCAGCAUAACUGAGGGAGGAUUCAGGGUCACCUGGUCCAGCCCUAACUAUAUGCUUUAGCAAAAAGGAAAGUUUUAAGCCUAAUCUUGAAAGUAGAGAUAGUGUCUGCACUCAAAAAAAUCAACUAGGGCAUGUGUUUGAUUAACACUCAUUAAAUGAUUCAUUCUUUUUAGUUGAAUAUGAAUCAGAGAAAAACUUUGAUGAGUUAAAUUCGUUCAUGACAAUCCAAUGAGAAUGAGGUCCAUCAAACCAACAGCUCUGAUAGUGUCAUGUAUUGCGCAUGCUCCACGCCCACCGGAUGCGGAAAGGUCCGUUGAGACGUUAACGAGCGCACGUGGAGUUACUUCUUUGGCAUACCUGAUAGUGAGGUAAGUAAUUCACAUAUUGCUUGAUAUAUUUAUUUAGGUUAGUGGUGUGAGAGAUAAAUACUAGUAGUUAAAAAUUUUUUACCUGUGUAGUGUGGUGACUUAGAGGAGCUUUAUAUAUAGCAGGGAGUGUGUAGAGCCAAACAUUUUUCAAAUGUAAGUGGGUGAAUUUGAUUUUUUUUUUUUUUAACUUAACCAGAGUCGCUAAUUGUUGCAACAGAGCAAAAACUGAUGAGGCUAUUUUGAUUGACAAGGAAUUCCUGCGCAUAUCGACAGUACCGCUGCUAUCUAGAUUCUUUUAUGAGCUAGACUUGUACACUCCACGCAUGAUGGAGCUCUUUCGAGGCAAAGGUGGGGUGGCUGGCAGAAAAAUGAGACACAUCAUGGUGGCCAUCUCCAAGGAUGACACAAUACAUACAAGGCGAGCAUGCAUCCUGAAGUCCUUGUGUUCACCUGAACGAAGACCAUGAGAAACUUGUGAAGGAAUAUAUGAACACUGAGGCCAACACUGAAGCCAUGGAACAAACUGUGAUGGGAGUGUACGUCAUACAGCAGGAGGGUGCGGAGCCUGGAGAUGACCCAGAGAACAUCGGUGUCCUGAUUGGAGGCGUUGAGGUUCUCACUGGUUUGAGGAGCAUUGCAAUUGCUUGUGCUCUGUUAUUUGGACUGAUAUACUGUCUGAACCUAAGCUACCCACCGGAGCUCAAAUGCACUUUUGAAGUCUUGCAAAAGAUUAUCAUGAAGCUGGAUGGGCAGAGGUUGUCAUCCAAGGCACAGUUACUAAAAAAACAAGCUAAUGGGGUGAAUGAGCUUGAAACAGACUCAGGCAAGCCAGAUAUUUUUUUCAAGAUUUCUGCAAUGCAAAUAUGUGUUUACCGUUUUAAAGUUUAAAAUUGUAAGUUAUAAAAUGUUCAUAUAAACUAUGUGGUUUGCUCUGUGGCUAUUAGACAAAGAUUGUUCGUUCAUAACUUAAAGUCUUAUACACUUGAAGUGUAAACACUGAUUUUUGCCAGAUGGGCAAUUGUUACAAAGGCAAAUGCACACUGGUUUUCGCAAAUUGUUUGAGUGGAGCAGUUAUACUCAAAAUUGAAUGUUUUCUCCACACGUUAAAUAGCAUAAAGUCACUAUUAAUAGAUACAGCCUGAUUAAAUGGAGGACUAAUGUAUGAAAGCAACAUAGUAAUGUUGUAAUGUUAUAGUAAUGUUGAAUGUUAUGUCUGAGCUUUAAAUUGUGUUAAAAUUCAUAUUGUUGUUUGCAAUGCAUAUUUUACUACAUUUUAAGAAAGUUGCUUUGGGGAUAAUAUUUUUUGUCUGCAAACUAUUCAACAGACUUAUUUCAUUUUUUAUUAUUAGGGUUAUUUUAUUGUAUUUUUUCUUUUAGUCAGAAUGUCUUGAUCUGGAAGUUCUGUGGUCUUAGUAUGAGAUGGUUGAAGGGGAGAAAGCUAGGCUGAACUGGGAUCCUGCCAACUGUUUUAAGAAUGUUCAAGCAAAAUAAAAGAGAUGGUUUUGCAAGUUAUCAUUUAUGUAUGUUUCGUUAAUUUAAUUAAAAGUAAUGUUUACAUAAGCAAUACAAACAUGAUUGGUGUAAGUACUACAGACAUAAAUUACAUUUGUUCAUUCAACAAGAUUAACAUUGGUGUAACAAACAAAUAUUUUACUAGUUCAUGUAACAAGACUGACUUUUGAUGUGCCAAAGUGUUUAAAC